ACAUAAAAAAAAAAAAAAAAAAAAAAAGCGGGUUAAAACACGUGUUAGAACAUGCUAGAACAAGUGAUGAUCCCACUAAGGCAAAGACUAAAACGAACAAAUAUAAUAAAAAAAAGCAUGUAAGAUUAAAACUUUUUUUAUAAUUAAUAUUAAAAAUUAUAGUUUUUUUUUUUUUUUUUUUUUUUUUUUUUUUUUUUUUUUUUUUUUUUUUUUUUUUUUUUUUUUUUUUUUUUCAGCUUUUUAUAAAAUUUUGCGUUUUACUUGAGUUUGUAAAGCCUUUUUGUAUUCCAAUUCUGUGUUGUUUUUAUUUUCCAAAAAUUUUAGCAAUUUUUUUUUUUCAUUUUCUAAACUCAUUAUUUUAUGUAAUAAGUUUUUUUAACGGAUAUUUGUGGGUUAGUGUAUCAUCUUCUUUAAAGAAAAAAAUAAAAUAAGAUAAAAAAAGGACAAUAUUAUGUUUUAUCUUAAUUAAAUAUAACGGGUAUAUACGAGCAUAAAUGUAUACAUAUGUGCAUAUAUAUAUAUAUAU
rnacentral:lncRNA from 1 species